UUCCUCAUGACAAAAAUUUAGCUGUUCAUAUUUAAACACUUGUUCAUCAAAUCUUUCAAACACUUGGUCGCCGAAUUUUUCUGAGGAACAGCCAUAAUACUAGCGUUAUAAUCUAAGUCUGCUGUAGAUCUACCACUAAGUACCAGAGACGAUUCAAAAUGAGUGAAUCUACGCCUUAUAAACAAUGGGAAAAGGUUUAUGUCAGUCCGGAGGCCCGAACGGAAUUGUCCACCCCACCUAUGCCAUACUACUAUCAUAAGCAGUCUGAGGGUUCGUCAGGAAAAGGCGACAGCUCUGGGCAACCGAAAUCAACUGGUAGCAGUGGAAAAUCUGGUGGCGGGGGAAAGAAGUGAUGACAAGUGGAUUUGGGCGUUACCGUGGCUGUUUUCUCCUUUUGCUGGGCUACCUGUAAACAGAAUUAUUAAAAUCCCUCUACUAGAUUGACGUUUGGUUUCUUCUAAAAAAAAAAUAGUAUAGACUAUAGUCAGUAUUGUUCAAAAAUUGACUGAUUGAUUGAAAGAUUGGGUAAUUGAAAAUUAGUAUUUAUUUCGUUCU